CCUACGGGGGGCAGCAGUGAGGAAUAUUGGUCAAUGGGCGCGAGCCUGAACCAGCCAAGUAGCGUGAAGGAUGACUGCCCUACGGGUUGUAAACAUCUUCUAUAAAGGAAUAAAGUGAGGCACGUGUGCCUUUUUGUAUGUACUUUAUGAAUAAGGAUAGGCUAACUCCGUGCCAGCAGCCGCGGUAAUACGGAGGAGCCGAGCGUUAUCCGGAUUGAUUGGGUUUAAAGGGAGCGUAGAUGGGUUGUUAAGUCAGUUGUGAAAGUUUGCGGCUCAACCGUAAAAUUGCAUUUGAUACUGGCAGCCUUGAGUACAGUUGAGGUAGGCAGAAUUCGUGGUGUAGCGGUGAAAUGCGUAGAGAUCACGAAGAACUCCGAUUGCGAAGGCAGCUUACUAAACUGCCACUGACAUUGAUGCUCGAAAGUGUGGGUAUCAAACAGGAUUAGAUACCCGUGUAGUC
rnacentral:rRNA from 1 species